GCUGGUGUGUGAACAAGCAGCCCUGAAAUCCUAGAUUCAUCACCAGGCAUGUAUUUUUCCCAUAUCACCUUACCCAUGGUUCAGAAGAACAGAAGAAGAACAGACACCAUUUGCACCUCAAGAGUGCUGAGAAUAUAAGGUCUGUAUUAAAUCUCAACAUGAGGAAUAAAUCCACUGCAGGAAAUCAUGACAAAAAUGCAUGUUUUGGAAAAGGACUAUGAAAAUGAACCAAGUCAAACUACAAGGUUUACCUUGGCUUUAAUGUCUUACUUGAAUGUCAGGUGUAUUAGAAGGAACCCAUGUUGGAGCAUUACAGUUAUUUCCUUUUUCCUAGCUCAAAAAGCACAGGACUGACUUUAUUAAAAUACUGCAGGAGUCAGGAAGACAGGGAAAAGAAGAACACAACACAGAGCAAAACGAAAAUUGGCUGUACAGCAAGAUUAUUUUGAACUUCCAUCAGAAGAACAUACAAAC